rnacentral:rRNA from 1 species
GACGAACGCUGGCGGCGUGCUUAACACAUGCAAGUCGAACGAAGUGGCGAACGGGUGAGUAACGCGUAAACAACCUGCCCUUCAGAGGGGGACAACAGUUGAAAACGACUGCUAAUACCACAUACUGAAGGCGGGUAUUGCGUUGGAUUAGCUAGUUGGAGGGGUAACGGCCCACCAAGGCGAUGAUCAGUAGGCGGUCUGGGAGGAUGAACUGCCACAUUGGGACUGAGACACUGCCCAGACUCCUACGGGAGGCAGCAGUGGGGAAGAUGCCACAAGGGACGAAAGUCUGACGGAGCAACGCCGCGGGAGUGAUGACGGCCUUCGGGUUGUAAAGCUCGGUUAAGUGGGACGCGGUACCGGAAUAGAAAGCCACGGCUAACUACGUGCCAGCAGCCGCGGUAAUAC